AAUCCAUGCCGAGGGCAUCAUUGAAUCAAAUCUUUAUACCUUUCCCAUGCUUCAUAGAGUGACUCAAAAUCAUUCUGCUUGAAUAGACUAAUCUCACUCUUGAGUUG